AAGUGACAGAGCAGGGAGAGAAUAGACCCUUCUCUGCCUGGAUCACGUUGUUACCAAGCCUUCAGUGAUAUACCAGAUACUAAAAUAGUUGCUGGCUUUCCACAUAAAGAACAUAGAUUACCUGCUCGUCUGGACUCUGAUUCCUGCUUUUCUGAAUGGUAAAGACAGCAGAGAAACCCUGGUAGUACCUCACAGCAAAAGAAGCGAGAGUCUUUAAAAUGAAAAACUGGAGAAACUGCACCUUCAGGAUUCCCCAAGAGAGCAGGGAUCCAGCACAGGCCGUGCUUAUGGACUUUGUCCUUCUUAACGCUCCUGCU